UUUAUUGUUUUUUUUUUUUCAAAUUACAAUUUGAAAUUUUGAACACAGAGACAGAGGUCAGAGAGCCCAUUUCUGAACCCAUCCUGCUCUUGCGUCCUCCUCCCUCCCUCUCGUCGCCCAGCACCCUCGAGGGUCGCUGUCCCUAUAGUCGCCUAGCACAGGCGACUUGUCGGCCUGCCUCUGCCCAUCACCAACCAUCAUGUUUUCCCCACAGACCAUUUCGAACUAGAGGGAAGAGUUCACAGGAACCACUCGUCACCUAGCACCUGUGUCGCCCUCCUUCCACCAGCGCCACCGCUCGCACCCUCGACUCGUCGCCUGCCUUUGCCCAUCGCCACCCAUUCUGUUAAGGAGGUAGUUGAAGGAAUCGAGGAUAACUUAUUUGUGGCGAACCGUUGUUGUGCCGUGAGUUGUUGUGGGUCGGGGUAGUAGAGGGGAGGGAGGGAGGGAGGGAGGGAGAGAGGGAGAGAGAGAGAGAGAGCGAAGCGAAGCUGCUAAGUCGCACGUUCGCUUGCGCUGCUGACUGGUAUCCUCGACGCCUUUUGCUCUCGGUGAAUCCAAGCAAGGUCAAGUAUGGCGAGGGAAAUAGAGAAUUUCAAGUUCGAGCACAGGCAUGGGAAGGAUUGAGUGAGGGUGGGUAGGGUUUGGAGAAACAAAGAAGGCUGCUAUUUCUUCGUGGAGUGGAACGUCAGCAUCAGCCUCCUCUCCAAUUGCCUCCCCGCCUAUUUACUAGAUGACAACUACGACAUCGUCGCCACUGACACCAUAAAGAACACCGUAUAUGUGAAAGCAGAGGAAUGCUCAGAACAAAUUUCAAUGGAGGACUUUGCAAUUCUACUUGCUAAGCACUUUACAUCAUUUUACCACCAAGUAAAUACUAUGUAGAUUUAGUUGUGUACUUUAAAUUCAUAAUAUGGAUGAGAUUUGAUCAUAUUUCUAUUUUUGGUUCCUUUAACUUUGUAUGAAGGAAAUAAAACCAAAUACAUCUAUUAAAAAAACUUUGAAUGAAGGAAAAAGUAGAAGGCAAAGGCGGCUACUUUUGGCAUGUACCAGUAGUCUGUCUGUAUAGAUGGUAAGCAAGUUUAGUCUUUCCUUAAUGGGUGCAGUUGUGAGUCAUCCUUAUUGCAUGGUUAUGAAUGGUUAUGUGUGUAUUGCAUGAAUGGUGGGGAAAUGUUUUAGCAAAUAUAGUUCACUGUUAACAAAAAAAAAAAUGUGAAACAGAGUUCAUACCUAUACUUUUUAUCGUAAGCUCGUCUCCUCUACUUUCUUUGGAAUAUUUUUGGUUUUUUCCUUCAUUAUAAGGAUUCUAAUGAAAGAGAUUUCGUGGGCUAUGAAUCUAGUGUCAACCUACUCAUUCUUUAUUUUUCAAGCAACCUUUUCUUGCUCAUUCAAAAUCUAUUGCUAUAUUCUCCUUCUUCGCUACUUUUUCCAAUGACAUGCUUUAUUACAAUUUACAUUAAGCAAAUACUUUUUCCAAUGACUGGUACUCUCAUUGGCAUUCUUAGUUCUAGUGUGAUAGGGAAAGAGGAAGAUGGAAUCCACCUAGGCCUUUGACGUCGAACUUCACAGUUGUUUCUUUCAGAUUCUACAAAACUCGAGAGGAGAAGUAUCUGCUUGAUCUCCAAAGGAUCUUUGUGCUGCUUUCCUAGCACAGCUCCGAGUCCUAAAGCAAGAAGCCUAGGCUCACAAAAAGACCUUUUCCCGUGAAUCUCUUUUGAUGCUUGUGAAUAAGAAGUCAAUUAUGUAUACAAUAUAAGCUCAAUUUGGUAGCUUUUUUCCCGGACGUUUUUUCGGGUAUUGUUUAGUUUGAGCCAAUAUUCAACGUUGGAAUUGGGGGCUUAUAAUCUGGGUGGUGCAGUCUGCCCUGCCCUUGGGUGUAAUUUUUCUUGUACAUGUUUUGGAUUACUUCUACAGAUGUGGUUGAAUAGAAUUUGACCUUUGAGACUA